CGUGCAGUCUCAGACGUCGUCGACACAUGCAAUUUGUGACAAGGUGGCAAUUCUCACACCUCCUCCUUUAGGUUGUGUGUGUGUUGUGCCCUAUAUGUGCAUGAGUGUGUCCAGGACGGACCACUCUUAUUUCCAUUUUCCCAUCGAAGACUGGUCCCCAGGAUUGAUGAUGAUGGAUGCCUGAUUGUGUGUCGAUGUUCUGAUUCUGACAGUGACUUGAAGUUACACGACAGACAUUGAUUGCUUUAAAUACAGUCCACUUCUACUUGUCCGACCUCGAGUUAUCAUCUGGUCCUUCGAGCCGGAGCUACCGGCAUCGUUCUGAAUCACGCUGUUCAGCAUUUGAUUCGACUUCGACUGGCGUUGUAGCAGACCUGCCCACGCCUUCAGCAUUUGAUUCGACUUCGACUGGCGUUGUAGCAGACCUGCCCACGCCUUCAGCGUUUUGAUUCGACUUCAACUGGCGUUGUAGCAGACCUGCCCACGCCUCAUCUUCAGCAUUUCAUUUGACUUCGACUGUCGUUGUAGCAGACCUGCCCACGCCUUCAGCGUUUUGAUUUGAC